ACGGAAGGCAGCAGUGGGGAAUAUUGGGCAAUGGGCGAAAGCCUGACCCAGCAACGCCGCGUGAAGGAAGAAGGUCUUCGGAUUGUAAACUUCUUUUAUGAGGGACGAAGGACGUGACGGUACCUCAUGAAUAAGCCACGGCUAACUACGUGCCAGCAGCCGCGGUAAUACGUAGGUGGCAAGCGUUAUCCGGAUUUACUGGGUGUAAAGGGCGCGUAGGCGGGGAUGCAAGUCAGAUGUGAAAUCUAUGGGCUUAACUCAUAAACUGCAUUUGAAACUGUAUUUCUUGAGUGCUGGAGAGGUAGAUGGAAUUCCUUGUGUAGCGGUGAAAUGCGUAGAUAUAAGGAAGAACACCAGUGGCGAAGGCGAUCUACUUGACAGUAACUGACGCUGAGGCGCGAAAGCGUGGGGAGCAAACAGGAUUAGAUACCCUGGUA
rnacentral:rRNA from 1 species